rnacentral:lncRNA from 1 species
AUUAAUGAAAAUUACAGAAAAACAAAUAAAACCACUUGAGAAAACCAAACAAACAACCAAAAGAAAACCCAUCGUCUUCUCAAGAACAAAACUAGAAAAAUAAGAAAAACAGGAAAACCAAAAGACUUUUCGAUAAGAAACUCAGCAGCCCCAUCAACCUAUCAUCCUUCAUCAUUAUCACUACUACUAUCAUCUUGCUCCCAUAGAUUAGCAGUCUUCAGAAAUUAUGAUGGAUCUUGUAGUUUUGAACCGUUGGAGCCCUGAAUACCCAUUUUCUAUUACCCAUUCAACUCAUUCAUAUAAGAUUUCAUUUAUCUCUUUCGACCUCUACUUCUACCCUUAGCGACGCCUCCUCAAUCCAAACCCUCAGCAAUGACCAUUGUUUUCUUUCCAUCACCAUAGCAUGUGCCCUUUGAUUCACCAAUCUCUCUACAAAACUAAAGAUAAGUUCUUCAAAUCUUUAAGCCCUUUCUUUAAUUUCCUUUAUUAUUACAGAAAUACUUGAUCUUUCCUCCCCUAGUGACCGAAAUUUUUAACUACAGUCAAGGAGUCCCCCUCCACCACCAACAUUUGAAAGCCCAGUUUUUCAGCCACUGUCACCGCAUGUAAACAGGCUCUGGCCUCAUUUGUAGUUGUGUCGGCCACAAAAUUAUUUGGGUAUGUACAUGCUACUAGAAUAUACCCCCCACUAUCUCUAAAAAUUAUGCCUAAAACCGAACUAUGCUCAUGCUUAUUAAAUGAUAUAUCAAAAUUAAUUUUAACCACAUUUGUCCUUGGCGGAUACCAUUCAUUAUCAUUCUAAAUAAUGCUUGUUGUUAUUGUUGUUUCUAUGUUGCUAUUCUUUGUAUGAUAGGCUUUAACAAAAGAAUUAAGGCGAAACACACUCUCUUUCACCAUGAUGAUAGACCUUGUUUCUAUGAUGCCAAACUGCCCAAAAAACAAUAACUAACCAUUUACAUUGUUCUUCACCACUAUUAACAAAUAAAUUUUUAAUCAUUUUUCCAACUUUGCCCCUAAUUAAUGGGCAAGCCAUCAAUACCCACCCACUACAGGACACAUUUGGUGAACGAAAAAUCCCGAAAAAUGUGGCUCAUUGACUCUUCCAUUAAGCAACAGAAAAGGCAAUAAUUCACCACCACCAACUUUCUCAGUUGUAAAUUAUCAAACAUAGGAAUGUAAUUGUUAGUCAAUUUUCAUAUUGUAAUUUUUAUCUUACUCGCAACUCUUAGUCUCCAUAAUUUCUUGUAAAAACUCUGUAAUAGUGUAUCUUGUUUUACCUUUCCCCAAUUGAUGUUAUCACAUCCCCAUUUAGCAGUCAUUUGUAUCCACUCCUUGUCCAAACCCUCCCAUCCUAGAGCUCAACUCUAGCAAUUGGAAAAGUCAAUAUUCUGCUCACUUGCUCCUCAUUAAAUAACUCUCACAAGGCCUUCAAUUUCCAAAUAGUCGACUCAAUAUUAAUAAGAUCUACCACCACUAUAUAAUUAAAACUAAUUUUUUAAAUUACCACUCUUCCUUGUUUAGGACUCGAUAACCAAACAUCAUUCCAAAUGUUUAUCAUUCUGUCAUUUCUAACUUUCUACCCCAUACCUAGUUCCAGAAGCCUCCGACCACCCCAAAUGCUCUUCCAAGUAUACGAAGAGUGAGAACCUAAAUUGACACUCAUAAAAUCAUUUUUAGAUAGUACUUAGCUUUCAUGACUCGAGCAAACAAACAGUCCUUUUUCAUUACUAAUCUACAACCCUAUUUUACAAGCAACACAAUUUUAAACUUUGUUAAGUCCCUAAAGCCCAAACCUCCUUAUGCUUUUGGCUUGAACAUUUUCUUCCAAUCGCACUAAUGGAUCCCCUUCUUUGUUUUAGAAUUUCUCCACUAGAGCAUACUGAUAAUACUUUCCAACUCACAACAUAAAGUAACAAGUAACAGAAAGUAUUAUAUUGUAUAAACUAGGAUGACCUGUAAAAUUGAUUUGAUAAAAAUUUAUUUACCUCCAAGUGACAAAUGAUGAACACUCCUACUUUUAAUAUGCUUCACAAACCUAUCUUUAAAACUUGCAAAAGCCUCCUUCUUUCGCCUACCAACCAUAGUCGACAAACUAAGAUACUUUUCUGCAUAAUAAGAGACUCUCAUACUAAGAACUACCCCAAUAUGUUCCCUUAUGUCCCUUGACACAUUAUUGCUAAAGAAAAUUAAAGAAUUUUCAAAAUUAAUCAACUGUCUCAACACCCCUUCAUAUUCGGUCACAAUUAAUUUAAUAGCGUUCGCGCCAUUCAGACUUGCCUCCCUAAAUAAUAUACUAUGAUCUGCAAAAAACAGAUGAGUUAAAAACAAUCCACUCCGACCCACCCUUAUGCCUUUAAUGGUCCCUUUAGCCUUCGCCAUUUUAAGGAGAGUAAAAAACCCUCUCAUGCAUAUAAAAAGUAAAUAAGGGCUCAGCAGAUCUCCUUGUCUUAACCUCUUAUGAGAUCUGAAUUCCUUUUCUUGAACCCCGUUAAACAAAACAAAAUAGUUAAUUGUUCGAACACACCCUAUCAUUAGUGACACCCAUUCAUCAAUAAACCCCAUACGACACAUCACUUUUUCUAUGAAACUCUGUUUCACCCUAUUCAUAAGCCUUAUUCAUAUCUAGUUUCAAUGCAAAAUGUCCUCAUGGCCCUUCUCGUUUCUGUUUAAGUGACUAUAAUACCUCGUAUGCAAUAAGAGUAUUAUCCAUAAUUUGUCUUCCUGGAACAAAUGUCGCUUGUGCUUCAUCAAUACAUUUAUCCAAAACAAUUCUAAAUCUAUUAACCAUUACUUUAGAAAUGAUUUUAUCACCACAUUGCACAGGUUGGUCGGCCUAAAUUGCAACAUACUAUUUAGAGCAUUCACUUUCAGGAUAUGCACAAUACUAGUAUUGUUGAUAACAUCUACCUUAUUCCUUCUAUUCAGUACAUCUAAACAAUACUUAGUUAUCUCCCCUCACAAUAUGCAAGUAUUUUUUUAUAGAAAAGCAUAGGAUAACCAUCCAUACAUGAUGCCUUUAAUGGUGCCAUACUCUUUACUACUUUCACAACUUCAUCGACCCAAAAAUCUGCAAUAAGCUUAUUGUUCAUACCCUCCUGAAUGUAAGCCGGGAUCCCAAACAACACUUUAUCACAACUCGUUGUCUGCAAAGCAGUAAAUAUCACCUAAAAUAACCACUCACCACCCUUGCCAUCUCCUCAUCCCCUACAACCCAUUCCCUAUUUGGGCCUUUCAACUUCUUCACAGUAUUCUUCUUUUUUAGUUGGUUUGCUAGAUUGUGAAAAAAGGAUGUAUUUUUAUCCCUAAAUUGAAGUUAGUUCGCCCUUGCGCACUGCUCUCAAAAGAACUCCUCUUUAUCAGCUUCCAAAUUCAGAGCCAACUUAAACUCUUCCAACUCUACUAAUGUUUCUUCAUCCAUAUCAGUCGAACUCAAAUCAACAAAUCGCAUAUUUAGAGCUAUUGAUGUUUGUCUUUUACUGGAAGAAAAUUAUCCCAUCUCAAUCUUAAGAAUCUCACCUAGCUUUUCCAACUUCGUGAAAACAUCAUCAGUAUUCACCUCUCAAAAGUUUAUUUCACCAGUUGUUCAGAGUAGUCCUCCAAGAUCCAGUUUGCAUUAAAUCUAAAUCCCUCAUUCUUCUGAACUAGAUAACCUCUACUAACAUUCCCCAAAUCCAUCAUCAACCAGUGAUAAAAAAAUAGCAUGAGGCAAGUGUCUUAAAGAAUAACCCAAAAAAACUCUCCCACCAAGCCGAAUUGGCAACCCCUUUGUCAAUUAUUUCACGAACAUUGUUCUCCGGUAGACAACCUGUAAUGGCCUAAAUUUUUAGUGGUGUCGGAAUGGUGAUUCGAGAUCUCUAAAUCUGACAAAUGAGUAGAAAAUAUUAUUAAUUUAGUGAGUAUAAGUUAAAUGUGAGGUUAGGAAAAUUUUUGAAAUAGUGAAUAGUGUAAUAGGAAUAAAUAUUUAAAUAAUUAGAAUUGAAAAUGAGGUAUCGAAACCUCAAACUCAUAAAUCGAGCCAUAAAUAUUUUUAGAAAUAUUUAUAGAAUGUCAUUGAGUUGGUAUUAAAGUAAUGAGGUAUCGAAACCUCAAACUCAUAAAUCGAGCCAUAAAUACUUUUAGAAAUAUUUAUAGAGUGUCAUUGAGUUGGUAUUAAAGUUUCGUUAGAAAAUUCUAACGUUUUGGUGGUCAAUUAAUUAAAAAGGACUAAACUGAAAAUAAUGUAAAAUUUUUUAAAAGUGAUUAAAUAGCUUAAGUGGUAAAUAAGGAGGGACUUAAGGCAUAAAUAUGCCAAUAUGGAAUAAUUGAGACGACAUAAGAGAAGAAAAAUCUGGAAAAGUGAUGUAAUAAGGGCAAAAUUGGAAAUUUUGUAAAAAUUAACAAAUAAAAAUCUUAAUUAAAAGAGUUUCUAGGCAAUUCUUCAUAUUUCUCAGCAAAAAAACGCCAUUUAAGGGUCCAUCCAAGCUGGUUUUUCAUAUAUUUGAAUCAUGCAAGUUUAAUUCUUGAUUAUUUCUUCUAAUUUUUGUGAUUUUGAUACUUUUACAAUUAGGUCCAACUAAUUAUUUCAUUAGUUUUUGAUUUCAUGGCUGAUUUUGAGAGUUACCAUUGAUGAGUGAUGGAUUUUUAUGAUGAAUUAACAUGGAAUUAAAGCUUUAAUUUUAUUAUAAGAUGAUUUUAUUAAGUAAUUUUGAUAGAAAUUGAUUUUAGGGACCUAAUAGUGAAAAGUUUGGAAUUAGGGUUUGGUGUUGCGGUUUUGAAUAUCAAAGGCUACAUAGUAGUCUAAAAUAGUUGUACAAGGUGUUAAUUGAGAAAAAUUAGAUCAAUUGAGAGGUUAAUUGAGUAGGGACCAAAUUGUAAAAAUUGUAAAGUUUGGGGUAAAACUAUAAUUUCAAAAAUUAUAGGGGUAUAAAUUGUGAAAUGAAUUAGAAUUGAAUUAAAUGUUGGUGAAUGAAUAAAUUUAUAUUUUAGAUCAAGAACCCGAAGAUAAACGAGGAAAGGAGAAAAUUACCGAUUAGUCACUAAACUUCCGCAACUUUUCCAAAGUAGUCAAGUAAGUUCAUAUGACUGAAAUUUAACGAUUAAAUGUUAAUUUCAUGAAUUAUAUAGUGUAUGAUGAUAUAUACUUGUUGAUGGAUUGAAAAUAAAAUAACAAUGGGAAAACCGAAUAAAUGAUCAAAUUGAGCGAAACGUCGGAUUUGAGUUCUUCUGAUCAGUGACAAGUGAUAAGUGGUAGCUUUAGCUGCACUUAUCUGAUCAGUGACAAGUGACAAGUGAUAAGUGGUAGCUUUAGCUACACUUAUCUGAUCAGUGAUAAGGGAUAAGUGGUAGCUCAGCUACACUUAUCUAAUCAGUAACAAGUGAUAGCUACACUUAUCUGAUCAGUGACAAGAGAUAAAUGAUAAGUGAUUCCGUGUAAGACCAUAGCUGAGCUAUGGCAUCGGUAUGUGUUAUGUGAUCAUGUGUAAGACCAUAGUUGGACUAUGGCAUCGAGGAAAUGAAGUACUCAAUUCCGUAAGAUGUUCACUAAUUUGAUAAAGUCGGUAAGUGUUACAUAGACUCAUAUCCAAGUGGUAUAUUUAUCGUAGUUGCUGAAAUUGAGCUCAAUUAAAUGAUUUCAUCAAUUGGAUAUUGUGUAUGCUAGGAAGUGUAGUGAAUAAUAAGAUGUGAAUUAUUAUGAUUAGUUCGGUAAGAUUUAUCUUAAAUGCCUAUGAACUUACUAAGCUUUCUAUAAGUUUACUUGUGUGUGUUUAUUGUUUCUUGUAGAUUGACAUAUAAAUACGUUCAGAGGAUCGGAUCUACAUCAAGAAUCACACUAUCCAGAUUUACUCCGGUAGAUUUUGUUAAACAACUUUUUGAUUUAUAUGGCCUAUAUAGGAAAUUGAAGAAAAAAGUAAUAGUAUGAAUGAUUAAGAAUGCAAAGUAAAUCUGAAUGUGAUGGCUGUGUUAGACAAUGAAAUAUAUAUGUUUUUAGCUUGGAAUGGUU